rnacentral:rRNA from 1 species
GAUGAACGCUGGCGGCGUGCCUAAUACAUGCAAGUCGAGCGAACAGACGAGGAGCUUGCUCCUCUGACGUUAGCGGCGGACGGGUGAGUAACACGUGGAUAACCUACCUAUAAGACUGGGAUAACUUCGGGAAACCGGAGCUAAUACCGGAUAAUCUAUUGAACCGCAUGGUUCAAUAGUGAAAGACGGUUUUGCUGUCGGUUGUAGAUGGAUCGGCGCCGCAUUAGCUAGUUGGUAAGGUAACGGCGUACCAAGGCAACGAUGGGUAGCCGACCUGAGAGGGUGACCGGCCACAUUGGGCCUGCGAGAGGGACCAGACUGCUAUGGGAGGCAGGGGGGGGGAAUAUUGCACAACGGGCGGAAGCGAGAUGAAGCGACGUCGGGUGCGAAAUGCCGGUUUUUGGGGUAAAAACAGUUUUCGAAUGUGAAGAAGCGUGAGUGACGGUAAUGAGUAAAAAAGCCCCGGCUAACUACGUG